rnacentral:rRNA from 1 species
GACGAACGCUGGCGGCGUGCCUAAUACAUGCAAGUAGAACGCUGAAGGAGGAGCUUGCUUCUCUGGAUGAGUUGCGAACGGGUGAGUAACGCGUAGGUAACCUGCCUGGUAGCGGGGGAUAACUAUUGGAAACGAUAGCUAAUACCGCAUAAUAGUAGAUGUUGCAUGACAUUUGCUUAAAAGGUGCAAUUGCAUCACUACCAGAUGGACCUGCGUUGUAUUAGCUAGUUGGUGGGGUAACGGCUCACCAAGGCGACGAUACAUAGCCGACCUGAGAGGGUGAUCGGCCACACUGGGACUGAGACACGGCCCAGACUCCUACGGGAGGCAGCAGUAGGGAAUCUUCGGCAAGGGACGGAAGUCUGACCGAGCAACGCCGCGUGAGUGAAGAAGGUUUUCGGAUCGUAAAGCUCGGUUGUAAGAGAAGAACGAGUGUGAGAGUGGAAAGUUCACACUGUGACGGUAUCUUACCAGAAAGGGACGGCUAACUACGUG